AGUUCGAUUAUGGCUCAGAUUGAACGCUGGCGGGAUGCUUUACACAUGCAAGUCAGACGGCACGGACUUCGGUCUGGUGGCAGGUGGCGAACGGGUGAGUAAUGUAUCGGAACGUGCCUAGUAGCGGGGAUAACUACGCGAAAGCGUAGCUAAUACCGCAUACGCCUUUCGAGGAAAGCGGGGGACCUUCGGGCCUCGCACUAUUAGAGCGGCCGAUAUCGGUUAGCUAGUUGGUGGGGUAACGGCUCACCAAAGGCGACGAUCCGUAGCUGGUUUGAGAGGACGACCAGCCACACUGGGACUGAGACACGGCCCAGACUCCUACGGGGAGAACAGCAGUGGAAAUUUUUGGACAAUGAAGCAGUCAACCAUCCCGCGUGUGCGAUGAAGGCCUUCGAAGUUGUAAGCACUUUUGGCAGGAAAAAACAGCCUGGAUAACCCGUGCGGCGAUAUUGCCUGCAGAAUAAGCACCGGCUAACUACGUGCCAGCAGCCGCGGUAAUACGUAGGGUGCAAGCGUUAAUCAAGAUUACUGGGCGUAAAGCGUGCGCAGGCGGUUCGGAAGAAGAUGUGAAAUCCCAGGCUUAACUUUGAACUGCAUUUUUAACUACCGAGCUAGAGUGUGUCAGAGGGAGGCGGAAUUCCGCGUGUAGCGAUGAAAUGCGUAGAUAUGCGGAGGAACACCGAUGGCGAAGGCAGCCUCCUGGGAUCUUUGCUGACGCUCAUGCGAAAGCGCUGGGGGCAAACAGGAUUUGAUGCCUGGUAGUCCGCCUAAACGAUGUCAACUAGCUGUUGGGCCUUCGGGCCUUGGUAGCGCAUCUGCGAUGAAGUUGACCGCCGCAAGUACGGUCGCAAGAUUAAAACUCAAGGAAUUGACGGGGACCCGCACAAGCGGUGGAUGAUGUGGAUUAAUUCGAUGCAACGCGAAAAACCUUACCUACCCUUGACAUGUCUGGAAUCCCGAAGAGAUUUACAGGAGUGCUCAUAGAGAACCGGAACACAGGUGCUGCAUGGCUGUCGUCAGCUCGUGUCGGUGAGAUGUUGGGUUAAGUCCCGCAACAGGCACCAACCCUUGUCAUUAGUUGCUACGAAAGGGCACUCUAAGCCGGGCUGCCGGUGACAAACCGGAGGAAGAUUGGGGAUGACAUCAAGUCCUCGUAGCCCUUAUGGGUAGGGCUUCACCCGCGUCAUACAAUGGUCGGGACAGAGGGUCGCCAACCCGCGAGAGGCCAAUCCCAGAAACCCGAUCGUAGUCCGGAUCGCAGUCUGCAACUCGACUGCGUGAAGUCGGAAUCGCUAGUAAUCGCGGAUCAGCAUGUCGCGGUGAAUACGUUCCCGGGUCUUAUGCACACCGCCCGUCACACCAUGGGAGUGGGUUUACCAAGUAGUUAGCUAACCGUAGGGAGGCUGAUUACCACCGGAUAGGAUUCAUGACAGGGUGAAGUCGUAACAAGGUAA
rnacentral:rRNA from 1 species